UUUUGUUAUCAGCUGUCUUUCAGGUACUAUUUGAUGCUGCGAACUGUGCAAACAAAUGAAAGUGUUGAGACUUCCUUAUCCAGUGUUUAUUGAAUCUGGUGGUUGCAGAAGAGCAAGACUGAGGUCUUGAGUGCUCCCUUUUCUUUUCAUUACUUCUGUACCAAAAGGGAAGACCUUGAAACUCUCAGUCACUGUACUUAGAAGAGCAUGCCAUGGUAAAUUCUGAAACUGCUAGUGGCUUCAUGUAGCUUUCAGGAAGCGAGAAUGAAAGGGUUUGCAUUGGUGUGACAAGCUGGU